UCCUACGGGGCGCAGCAGUGAGGAAUAUUGGUCAAUGGGCGGGAGCCUGAACCAGCCAAGUCGCGUGAGGGAAGACGGUCCUAUGGAUUGUAAACCUCUUUAGGCGGGGAGCAAUGCCGGGCACGCGUGUCCGGAGGGAGAGUACCCGUAGAAUAAGCAUCGGCCAACUCCGUGCCAGCAGCCGCGGUAAUACGGAGGAUGCGAGCGUUAUCCGGAUUUAUUGGGCGUAAAGCGAGUGCAGGCGGUUCAAUAAGUCUGAUGUGAAAACCUUCGG
rnacentral:rRNA from 1 species